rnacentral:lncRNA from 1 species
GACCGUGACCUCCACGCUGCAGCAACACUCCUUGGAAAAAAGAAAAUCUGUAUUCCCGUGAAGCAGAAAAUCAUUACUAAUUAAUAAAUCACUCUUCUAAGGAAAUAUGGGAAGAUGAUGGCAUCAUCUCUCAGCAUUCUGGUGAAGAGAGAUACAGUGGAUGCGGGGGCUGCCCCAGCAGCAGCUUCUCCCUGCAGAGCUGCAGAAGAGAAGUAGCCCUUGAGCACUCACCCUCCCUCUGUGAAAACAGUGUGCCACAUUCAAGAAUUAUUAGGUCAUAAAAGAUGGCCCAGAUCCCCACUGUCUGGAGUCACAGAGUCACGUCUACACUAUAGGUACCGCGAUACCUGACAAUAGUGCUUUGCUUCAAGGUAAAAAUGAUGGAGAGUGCAAGGCAGUGAAGAAACGGCCAGUUGAGACUCAAAAUGCUGAGAAGGUUGUUCCUAAUGAAGGGAAAGAAAAUUUAAAAGAAAGAGAAUGCAGAUAGCAGGCAUUAGGGAGCAAAGAAAUGCUGGAUCAAAUUCUCUGCUGCUUCUCAUGAGAGGGAGAGCACAGGAUGUUCAGCCCAGGAAGUGGGGAUGUGGUGUUACAGAAAGGAUGAGAUGGCUGAAAGGAGCAAGUAGGGAAGGUGAAGGGAUGAGCUUGGUACAGGGCAGGCCACCAAUGGCAGCAGGGUACAGACUUGGCAGAGGGGAACCCCAGGCCCCAGCCCAGCGACAUCAUCACACUAAUGAGCAGAGGUGUGAAAUGAGAGGCGCGAGCUUCCCACAGCCCUAGCAAGUGCUGCUGGGCUUCAGCAACUCCAGGAGAGGAUGCUGUGGCCAGGGUGCCUAGAGACUACAAGCAGCUGUACCUGGUGGAGCUAAAAUAAAGGCCAAGUUAAG